rnacentral:rRNA from 1 species
GACGAACGCUGACGGCGUGCUUAACACAUGCAAGUCGAAGGGAGUGGCGAACGGGUGAGUAACACGUGAGUAACCUGCCCUUUUCUUUUGGAUAAGCCUGGGUAACUGGGUCUAAUACUGGAUGGCUUGGGAUGAGCUCGGGGGUUAUCGGCUUGUUGGUGGGGUGAUGGCUUACCAAUGAUUUGACGGGUAGGCGGCCUGAAGGGGUGGUCGGGCACUCUGGGAAUGAGAUACGGCCCAGAGUCCUACGGGUGGAAGCAGUGGGGGAUAUUGCACAAGGGACGAAAAUCUGAUGCAGCGACGUCGUGUGGGGGAGGAAGGCCGUCGGGUUGUAAACUCCUUUCGCCCGCGGAAUGGUAGUGGGUAAAGAAGCGCCGGCUAACUACGUGCCAGCAGCCGCGGUAAUAC